CCUACGGGUGGCUGCAGUGGGGAAUAUUGCGCAAUGGGCGAAAGCCUGACGCAGCGACGCCUCGUGAGGGAUGAAGGUCUUCGGAUCGUAAACCUCUGUCAAGAGGGAAGAAACCCUUGGGUUCGAAUAGGGCCCUUGGCUGACGGUACCUCAAAAGGAAGCACCGGCUAACUCCGUGCCAGCAGCCGCGGUAAUACGGAGGGUGCAAGCGUUAAUCGGAAUCACUGGGCGUAAAUCGCUCGUAGGCUGUGAAAGCCCACGGCUCAACCGUGGAACUGCGUUUGAUACUGCCAGACUUGAGUGUCGGAGAGGGUGGCGGAAUUCCGGGUGUAGGAGUGAAAUCCGUAGAUAUCCGGAGGAACACCAGUGGCGAAGGCGGCCACCUGGACGACAACUGACGCUGAGGAGCGAAAGCGUGGGUAGCAAACAGGAUUAGAUACCCUAGUAGUC
rnacentral:rRNA from 1 species